rnacentral:rRNA from 1 species
GACGAACGCUGGCGGCGUGCUUAACACAUGCAAGUCGAGCGGAGCGGCGAACGGGUGAGUAACGCGUGAGUAACUGCCCCCCUCUCUGGGAUAACAGUUGGAAACGGCUGCUAAUACCGGAUAGUGGGGGAUGACUCGCGUCCUAUCAGCUUGUUGGUGGGGUAGUGUCCUACCAAGGCGACGACGGGUAGCCGACCUGAGAGGGCGACCGGCCACAUUAGGCUGUGAGACGGCCCAAACGGCAACAGGGGGCAGCAGUGGGGAAUAUUACACAAUGGGGGAAACCGUGAUGCAGAAACGCCGCGGGCGGAAUGGCGGCCUUAGGGUUGUAAACCGCUUUCAGCCAUGACGCGGUAGUGGCAGAAGAAGCACCGGCUAACUACGUGCCAGCAGCCGCGGUAAUUC